AAGCACAAGCAAGCAGUUUAGAUAAGUCAGAAUGUGAAAUCCCCGGGCUCAACCUGGGAACUGCAUUUGAAACUGGCAAGCUAGAGUCUCGUAGAGGGAGGUAGAAUUCCAGGUGUAACGGUGAAAAUGCGUAGAGAUCUGGAGGAAUACCGGUGGCGAAGGCGGCCCCCUGGACGAAGACUGACGCUCAGGUGCGAAAGCGUGGGGAGCAAACAGGAUUAGAUACCCUGGUAGUCCACGCUGUAAACGAUGUCGAUUUGGAGGUUGUGCCCUUGAGGCGUGGCUUCCGGAGCUAACGCGUUAAAUCGACCGCCUGGGGAGUACGGCCGCAAGGUUAAAACUCAAAUGAAUUGACGGGGGCCCGCACAAGCGGUGGAGCAUGUGGUUUAAUUCGAUGCAACGCGAAGAACCUUACCUACUCUUGACAUCCAGAGAACUUACCAGAGAUGCUUUGGUGCCUUCGGGAACUCUGAAACAGGUGCUGCAUGGCUGUCGUCAGCUCGUGUUGUGAAAUGUUGGGUUAAGUCCCGCAACGAGCGCAACCCUUAUCCUUUGUUGCCAGCGGUUCGGCCGGGAACUCAAAGGAGACUGCCAGUGAUAAACUGGAGGAAGGGGGGGGGAUGACGUCAAGUCAUCAUGGCCCCUUAAAAGUAGAGCUACGCACGUUGCUACAAGGACAUAUACAAAGAGAAGCGAAGCUUCGCGAAGAGGAAAACGGACCUCAAUAAAGUAUGUCGAUAUUCACGGAUUGGAAACAGCAGACUCGAAUACCAU
rnacentral:rRNA from 1 species